GCUUUUCAAACACUGUUUAACCUUUCAGUUAUAAUUAUUAUUAUGUGGAAUUCAUCUUUGUGUAUGUUUACAUACAGUCUAUACUUUUGUGUUCAUUUCAGAAAACUAUACAUUUCAUCUGAAAAGUUGUAAUAGAGACUGUGAAAGGUUCAUUUUUGUUCUUUUAUUUUUCUUUGUAAACAAACAUUGCUGAUUUCUUUGAUAUUUGUGCCUCAGGUGGAAUGCUGUGUUUUUAAAAC